AAAAAAAUAAUAAUAAAGGGAAACGAAUUAUGUUAGACAAAAAAAUAAAUGCAAAAAGUGAACUUUGUAUUUUUUCCCCGGGACAAAGGCUAUACAAUAUUUCACAAUUUACGUUUAGAAAAAUGAGUUUAUGGUACUAUGAUUGUUUAUAAAAUAAAGCCACAACUUCACUUAACCUAGUUGAAAUGUGUGCAUAUUCGAUUAGAUUUACUGCGGUUCGGCGGAUAUAUUGCACACUUCAGACGCUGGUGAGUUCGAAAAAUUAUAAUUAUUUCGACACAUUAUAAAUGUCUAUACCUGUAUACAAUUUUUUAUCUAAGAAACCAAACGGAAUUCAAUCGCCAUGAAUUUCGGUAAAAACAAAAUAUUUAUUUAUAUCAAUGAUUAUAUACAAUAGACUUAUAGCCUCUCCCUCUCCUCCCCUGGUAUAGGGUGAUAUCGUCGGCUGCAUCUUAUCGUUUGGUAACCAAUAAUAAUAUUAACAUUGCAUUGGCUAUCCGUCUAUUCCACAAUCAAUGUUUAUAUACAAUAUAACGCGUACAGGUAAUGAUGUACGACCCCGCAAGACGCGUUGAUAAGUACGAUACACGUUAUUUAUUUUUUUAACGUUUAUAUAACAUGCAUUUUUGUUUGUUUCGAAUUGAAUUAUAGUAUUAUGAUUUUAUACAUACAAUGAGAAAAUGCAGUCGUAUUAUAUGAUUUUUUAUAGACAUUGGGUUUUAUCUUACGGAAUAAUCGAAAUGGGAUUAAGAUUAAAAAUCUCAAAAACAUUCUUAGAACACCAACACAUAUGGUCAAUAAAAAAAAAAAAAAUUAUAUAUACAUGGAACAUAGUAUAACAAAUCGGAUCAAAUCGUAACGCUCGAAGAAUAUAUAUAUAUAUUA